rnacentral:piRNA from 1 species
UAGUGCAUUUAUACUAGGCUUCCUCACAAA